AGUUUUUUUUCUGAAGCUUGUGCGUCAUUGAUCGAGAAAAUACCGCGCCUAAUCCGGAAUAUACGGAAAAACUUGCAGUUUAUCAGGUUCCAAGAGUGGGAACUCCGGACCGGAGACGACUUACGACGCUUCCAAGGACUUCACAUACGAUGGACGCUGAUACGAACCCGAAUAAAAUUUGGAUCUUUGGAUUGCGCAUCGUUUUGGAUCGGCUGCUGAGUUCACGCUGUGAUUCCGUCACUUCCUGCAUCCUGUUAACCAUUGGCACCCCGGAUUCGAUUACCAAUGUGACGCCUGGUAUUCACUAUGCUGGGAGACGAAGCUGUCAUCGACGGUUUACGGUAUUUGCACAGGGCGGACAAUAGCGACAAGCAGGCUGGAUGGAGCUAUGGAAAAACCGAAAAAAAGCGCAUGAACGUAGCGGAACAAAAUAGCAGCAGAUCGAAGAUGAUGCACAAAUCAACCGCCAUGCUCCAAUGACAAGCGAUCGCGAGCAGCACAGGUCAGCACCAAGAACAAUCAACAGAAAACGUUAUCGUCGGAGUGCUCGGUAGAGGACAUUUCUUUUCGAGCAUACAGCCUUAUCAAUGUUCUGAAACUUAACCGCUAAAUGCCUCUUUUAAACGGAUGAGGUACACUCCGACUUGGCCAACAAGAACGAAUAGUUCGUCUCCAUCAUCACCGUGGGGCGAGGUUGUCUAUCGGAAGGAACACAUCCUGAUUCACAAUCGCACGCUAUGGACGAAAUACUGCAAGCUUAAGCUCAUGUUCGUAGAAGGCAAAACGAAAUUGCUCAGAAGAAGGAUCCAGAAAAUAUUGACGCAUCGAAAGCAUUGUUCCCUUUUCUGCCCGACGAUAACGGAUCCGUCCAGGAGCGUUUCGUGUUCGCUCCUGAAUUAUACCAAAGAGCAUAGCAAGGAAUCGAAAUCGCUGAAAGAGGAAAACGAAAAAGGGGAAUGAUUCACCUUCGGAGGAGGUACUGGAUGAAAAUAUUACUACCGAAUGACCAGAGUAACAAAUGGGACUAGAUCAACAAGCUGACGUUAAACCCGUUGAAGUUCAGCGAUAGGUUGAGGUUGCCGAGCGCAUCGUAUUUACGUCGAAUGGUUAUGACAACUGUGACCACAGAAACAACGGUGGCAAUGGACGUGACGGCAUGGCAAUUAUUGUAUCCAUAACCACCGCAACGCAGGAGGCCCGACUUAUCAUCAGCACAACAACUAUUCCAACAAAUGGUGGAUGGGAUUGUCGGAACCAUUACCAUCAAAACCGAGACGAGUCGAAUAUGCACAAUUUGCAUUACAUGAAUGAAGGUGACAUAUGAGAAACAAGAAUAAAGAAUAAAAUGAUGUAAAUAAAUAUAAAAUAAAGA